rnacentral:miRNA from 1 species
UCUGGACUUGGUUGUGAGUGCA